AGCAUUAAAGCAGCCUUUCCCAUCACUACAGGACAUCUACAUCACCAGGGUCAUCAGGAGGACCCACAACAGCAUUAAAGAAAACCCACACGUACAACACAGUCUCUUCACACCACAAGCCGCUAC